rnacentral:rRNA from 1 species
CGCAGCGUGUCCGGAUUAUUGGGUUAAAGGGUGCGUAGGCGGAUAUGUAAGUUCGUGGUGAAUCGUCCGGCUUACCGGAUACCCGCCAUGGAUACUGUGUAUCUUGAGUGUGGAUGAGGAAGUUAGAAUGCGUGGCGUAGCGGUGAAAUGCAUAGAUAUUACGCAGAAUACCGAUUGCGAAGGCAGACUUCUGGUUCAUAACUGACGCUGAGGCACGAAAGCGUGGGUAGCGAACAGGAUUAGAUACCCUGGUAGUCCACGCUGUAAACGAUGAUCACUAGGUGUUCGGUCUAUAUGAUUGAGUGCCCAAGCGAAAGCGAUAAGUGAUCCACCUGGGGAGUACGUCGGCAACGAUGAAACUCAAAGGAAUUGACGGGGGCCCGCACAAGCGGUGGAGCAUGUGGUUUAAUUCGAUGAUACGCGAGGAACCUUACCUGGGCUACAAUGCCUCGGACCGCUGCCGAAAGGUGGUUUCUCUUCGGAGCCGAGUGCAAGGUGCUGCAUGGUUGUCGUCAGCUCGUGCCGUGAGGUGUUGGGUUAAGUCCCGCAACGAGCGCAACCCCUAUCUUUAGUUGCCAGCAUGUAAUGAUGGGGACUCUAAAGAGACUGCCUCCGCAAGGAGCGAGGAAGGCGGGGAUGACGUCAAAUCAUCAUGGCCCUUACGCCCAGGGCGACACACGUGCUACAAUGGACGGUACAGAGGGUAGCGAGCUAGUGAUAGUGAGCCAAUCUCAAAAAGCCGUUCUCAGUUCGGAUCGGAGUCUGCAACUCGACUCCGUGAAGUCGGAAUCGCUAGUAAUCGCAGAUCAGCCAUGCUGCGGUGAAUACGUUCCCGGGCCUUGUACACACCGCCCGUCAAGCCAUGGAAGCCGGGGGCGCCUGAAGCCGGGGGUAACAACCCGUCUAGGGCGAAACGGGUAACUGGGGCUAAGUCGUAACAAGGUAGCCAA